rnacentral:rRNA from 1 species
UAGGGAAUCUUCCACAAUGGACGCAAGUCUGAUGGAGCAACGCCGCGUGAGUGAAGAAGGUUUUCGGAUCGUAAAGCUCUGUUGUUGGUGAAGAAGGAUAGAGGCAGUAACUGGUCUUUAUUUGACGGUAAUCAACCAGAAAGUCACGGCUAACUACGUGCCAGCAGCCGCGGUAAUACGUAGGUGGCAAGCGUUGUCCGGAUUUAUUGGGCGUAAAGCGAGCGCAGGCGGAAUGAUAAGUCUGAUGUGAAAGCCCACGGCUCAACCGUGGAACUGCAUCGGAAACUGUCAUUCUUGAGUGCAGAAGAGGAGAGUGGAAUUCCAUGUGUAGCGGUGGAUUGCGUAGAUAUAUGGAAGAACACCAGUGGCGAAGGCGGCUCUCUGGUCUGCAACUGACGCUGAGGCUCGAAAGCAUGGGUAGCGAACAGG